rnacentral:rRNA from 1 species
AUUGAACACUGGCGGCAGGCUUAACACAUGCAAGUCGAGCGGGGUGAUGGUGCUUGCACUAUCACUUAGCGGCGGACGGGUGAGUAAUGCUUAGGAAUCUGCCUAUUAGUGGGGGACAACAUCUCGAAAGGGAUGCUAAUACCGCAUACGUCGUACGGGAGAAAGCAGGGGAUCACUUGUGACCUUGCGCUAAUAGAUGAGCCUAAGUCGGAUUAGCUAGUUGGUGGGGUAAAGGCCUACCAAGGCGACGAUCUGUAGCGGGUCUGAGAGGAUGAUCCGCCACACUGGGACUGGGACACGGCCCAGACUCCUACGGGAGGCAGCAGUGGGGAAUAUUGGACAAUGGGGGGAACCCUGAUCCAGCCAUGCCGCGUGUGUGAAGAAGGCCUUAUGGUUGUAAAGCACUUUAAGCGAGGAGGAGGCUCUUUUGGUUAAUACCCAAGAUGAGUGGACGUUACUCGCAGAAUAAGCACCGGCUAACUCUGUGCCAGCCGCCGCGGUAA